rnacentral:rRNA from 1 species
GAGGUUAAGCGACUAAGCGUACACGGUGGAUGCCCUGGCAGUCAGAGGCGAUGAAGGACGUGCUAAUCUGCGAUAAGCGCCGGUAAGGUGAUAUGAACCGUUAUAACCGGCGAUUUCCGAAUGGGGAAACCCAGUGUGAUUCGUCACACUAUCAUUAACUGAAUCCAUAGGUUAAUGAGGCGAACCGGGGGAACUGAAACAUCUAAGUACCCCGAGGAAAAGAAAUCAACCGAGAUUCCCCCAGUAGCGGCGAGCGAACGGGGAGGAGCCCAGAGCCUGAAUCAGCAUGUGUGUUAGUGGAAGCGUCUGGAAAGGCGCGCGAUACAGGGUGACAGCCCCGUACACAAAAGCGCAUGUGCUGUGAGCUCGAUGAGUAGGGCGGGACACGUGGUAUCCUGUCUGAAUAUGGGGGGACCAUCCUCCAAGGCUAAAUACUCCUGACUGACCGAUAGUGAACCAGUACCGUGAGGGAAAGGCGAAAAGAACCCCGGCGAGGGGAGUGAAAAAGAACCUGAAACCGUGUACGUACAAGCAGUGGGAGCACAGGUUUACCUGUGUGACUGCGUACCUUUUGUAUAAUGGGUCAGCGACUUAUAUUCUGUAGCAAG